rnacentral:lncRNA from 1 species
GUGAGAGAAAAAAAUGCCUACAAAUUAUUAAUGUGCUUAAGCAUGAAAUUCAUACCAAAGUAUGAGACUCAAAGAGGGAAAGAUGACGUGAACUUCAUGGAGAGCUGAACAAGGGUAUAGGUGCUGGACUUCUGGGAGGGGGAGUGUCACAGGCACUGGAAAGGCAGGGAAGGAGGAGCACAGUGUUGUCUUUCAUGCAGGUGAAUUUUCCAGGUAGCAGUCACCAUUGGUAGCCUCUGUCUGGGCCUGGUGUCAGACUCCCAAUCUCCUUUUCUUGCAAAAAAGGUCUUUUGUAGAUAGAAAGAGGGUAUCAGAAAGAAAAGCCUCUGCCUGAGUCCACAGUGUAGUUUACUAGGGCAGGUACAUGUAGAAUACUUUUUACAAAAGGAAAGGUUUUCAGAUGCCUUCCUUUGUGUAAGAGAUCAGCAGUCUCUGGAUAACCAAUUCAAACUAUGCCAAAGAAAUACAUUUACAGUAAGAUAUUUUGAUUUCCCUCACUAGUAACACUUGGAUCUUGGGCUAAAACUUUGACUAAUACUAAAACUCUCCCUCUUUCAAAAGUGCUCCUAUGAAAAGGGAGAUCAGUCUUACUGGUAAGACACUGUGUCAGCCCCUUUAUAUCCCCUGUGUUC